UUCCUACGGGAGGCAGCAGUAAGGAAUAUUGGUCAAUGGAGGUAACUCUGAACCAGCCAUGCCGCGUGGAGGAUGAAGGUCCUUUGGAUUGUAAACUUCUUUUAUAUGGGACGAAAAAAGGCUUUUGUAAGUCGUCUGACGGUACCAAAUAAAUAAGCACCGGCUAACUCCGUGCCAGCAGCCGCGGUAAUACGGAGGGAGCAAGCUUUAUCCGGAUUCAGUGGGUUUAAAGGGUGCGUAGGUGGGUUGGUAAGUCAGGGGUGAAAUCCCCGAGCUUAAGGAGGGAACUGCCAUUGAUACUAUCAGUCUUGAAUACGAGGGAGGUGGGCGGAAUCUGUCAUGUAGCGGAGAAAUGCUUAGAUAUGGCAAAACACACCGAUAGGGAAGGCAGCUGGCUACGCACAUACUGACACUGAGGCAAGAAAGGGUGGGGAACAAACAGGAUUAGAUACCCUGGUAGUCCACGCCCUAAACUAUGGAUACUCGACAUGUGCGAUAAACUUCAGUGUCGGAGCGAAAGCGUUAAGUUUCCACC
rnacentral:rRNA from 1 species